GCAGUAGUGUAGUUAAAUUUUGGGCGGCAGGGCUCAGUGGCAUUCCAAACUGAAGUGAAAUGUCAACCAAACCUGAGGAGCUGAAAAGAGCCUUUGACAGAGAACUUAAUAUUACUGAUUUUCAACUGGUAUGGGAAAAAGCUGGCCGGUGUUCUUUUGGGACGCUGGGACUCUAUUGGUAUUCUGUUAGGAAUCAGCACUAAUAAUAUAGAUGAGAUCGAAGCAGAGAGCAAGCCUCCAAGAACUUGUCCACGGAAAGUAUUUGAUUGCUAGUUAAAGAAGGACUAUGACUAUAAGAGUCAUGGUGUCCCUACAUUAAGAAUGCUGUGUAAUAGUGGAGGAGCUGAUCCAGCUGACCAGCUCUAGCUGAUGAAAUAGCAAAAGAAUAUAUUUACCAUUAAUCUUACUAAUAGCGGAGAGGCUACUACAUCACCAGUUCAUACUUCACCUUCUAAAGAAGCUACUCCAACUGUUGAGCUACCAGUUCCUACUUCACCUCAAUCUGAGUCUUCAGUCAUUUACAUUAAGAAGAAAUCAAUUGAAUAUUCACCAAAUAACCUGACACGAAUGAUUGGAGACCUUUAAGAAGUUUACCUUGAUAAUAUGUAUCAUACAGAGAAGUCCUUCCAUUCUAUUGACGUCUCAGAAGUUAUCGAUUUUGUUCAACAUUACAUUGCACUUUUACUCACUCCACGUUUUCAAAAAUACGAAGUGAUUGAGCCAAUGAAAAAAGAGUUUGACCCCAUUAAAACGAUGAAGCAGCUGUUUAGAGUACUUGAAAAAAUGUUUCGUAGUUUAAUUUUGAACUUGUCGUCAAGUUAGUCAAUACUUUCAUUACUGAUGAGAGAGAUUUACAGAGAAUGUGGUCUACAUAUCGUGAGAAAUUAAAAGAUUAUUUUAAAAAUAACAAUACUCAAGCAGUUCAAAUUGCAGACUCAAUUGAGUUUGGUCUUUCUGAUGUUCCAGGCACUAAAGUAAUGAUUGCUAAGGUUGCCAUUUCUUUCACAAGCUAAUUGCUGAAGCACUUGAAGUUCCUCAAUAUAAAUCUAUUUUUGUACGAUUGAUGAUGGCUGCAUGGGAUUAAAAUAUUCCAUUCCUGAUUUUCUUUAUUCUAUUCUUUUUCCAUUAACCAAUCAACAGUGUCAUUCAUUGGCUGAGAUUGGAAUCAUAAAAAUUACUUGUCAUAAAUAUGUACAUAAAAAGAAGCAGGUAUGUCAAUAACUAA